GACGAACGCUGGCGGCGUGCUUAACACAUGCAAGUCGAACGGAAAGGCCCUGCUUUUGUGGGGUGCUCGAGUGGCGAACGGGUGAGUAACACGUAAGUAACCUGCCCUUGACUUUGGGAUAACUUAAGGAAACUGGGGCUAAUACCCGAUAGAAGCUCCUGCUGCAGGGAGGGGGUUGGAACGUUUCGGCGGUUGGGGAUGGACUCGCGGCUUAUCAGCUUGUGGGUGGGGUAGUGGCUUACCAAGGCUUUGACGGGUAGCCGGCCUGGGAGGGUGGCCGGCGACCUUGGUCCUGCGGGAGGGCGCAGACUCGUAUGGUAGGCAGUAGGGGGGAGUAUUGCACAACGGGGCCGAGCCUGAUGCAGCAGCGUUGGGGUCGUGAUGUCGUCCUGCGGGUUGUAAACCGCUUCUGGCUGUGACGAAGCGCGAGUGACGGUAAUGGGUAAAUAAGCACCGGCUAACUACGUG
rnacentral:rRNA from 1 species